UCAGCUCUCUUUGCCUUUUGGCUUAGAUCAAGUGUAGUUUCUGUUCUUUUUAGUUUAGUCUCUAGAACGCCCCUACGGGGGCACUUCUAUUGAUUAAACCAGUUUUUGGCAACGGGUCGAUGGCCUCUGGGCUCCGCCUACCGUCAUUGACCACAGUGUCGCCCGUAUUGCACUGCCUCGGGCUGAUGCGAAUUCAA
rnacentral:snRNA from 1 species